AGUGAACGCUGGCGGUAGGCCUAACACAUGCAAGUCGAACGGCAGCACAGUAAGAGCUUGCUCUUACGGGUGGCGAGUGGCGGACGGGUGAGGAAUACAUAGGAAUCUACUUUUUCGUGGGGGAUAACGUAGGGAAACUUACGCUAAUACCUCAUACGACCUACGGGUGAAAGCAGUGGAUCUUCGGACCUUGCGCGAUUGAAUGAGCCGAUGUCGGAUUAGCUAGUUGGCGUGGUAAAGGCCCACCAAGGCGACGAUGCGUAGCUGGUCUGAGAGGAUGAUCAGCCACACUGGAACUGAGACACGGUCCAGACUCCUACGGGAGGCAGCAGUGGGGAAUAUUGGACAAUGGGCGCAAGCCUGAUCCGGCCAUACCGCGUGGGUGAAGAAGGCCUUCGGGUUGUAAAGCCCUUUUGUUGGGAAAGAAAAGCAGCAGGUUAAUACCCCGCUGUUCUGACGGUACCCAAAGAAUAAGCACCGGCUAACUUCGUG
rnacentral:rRNA from 1 species